GACGAACGCUGGCGGCGUGCCUAAUACAUGCAAGUCGAACGAAGCUGUUUUAACUGGUGCUUGCACCGACUUAAACAACCGAGUGGCGAACGGGUGAGUAACCCGUGGGUAACCUGCCCCAAAGAGGGGGAUAACAUUUGGAAACAGAGGCUAAUACCGCAUAACCACAGAAACCACAUGGUUUCUGUGUCAAAGAUUGUUUCGGCUAUCACUUUGGGAUGGACCCGCGGCGUAUUAGCCAGUUGAGAAGGUAAUGGCUUACCAAGGCAAUGAUACGUAGCCGAACUGAGAGGUUGAUCGGCCACAUUGUGACGUGAACACGGCCCAAACUCCUACGGGAGGCAGCAGUAGGGAAUCUUCCACAAUGGACGAAAGUCUGAUGGAGCAACGCCGCGUGAGUGAAGAAGGUUUUCGGAUCGUAAAACUCUGUUGUCAGAGAAGAACGUGUGCGAGAGUAACUGCUCGUGCAGUGACGGUAUCUGGCCAGAAAGCCACGGCUAACUACGUGCCAGCAGCCGCCGUAA
rnacentral:rRNA from 1 species